AAGCGUUGUCCGGAAUUACUGGGUGUAAAGGGAGCGCAGGCGGAUUGGCAAGUUGGGAGUGAAAUCUAUAGGCUCAACCCAUAAAUUGCUUUCAAAACUGUCAGUCUUGAGUGGUGUAGAGGUAGGCGGAAUUCCCGGUGUAGCGGUGGAAUGCGUAGAUAUCGGGAGGAACACCAGUGGCGAAGGCGGCCUACUGGGCACUAACUGACGCUGAGGCUCGAAAGCAUGGGUAG
rnacentral:rRNA from 1 species